GCCGGGCAUGGUGGCGCACACCUGUAGUCCCAGCUACUCAGGAGGCUGAGGCAGGAGAAUCGCUUGAACCUGGGAGGCGGAGCUUGCGGUGAGCCGAGAUCGCGCCACUGCACUCCAGCCUGGGCGACAGAGCGAGACUCUGUCUCAAAAAAAAAAAAAAGUAUAUUUUAUUAAUACUCUUUUUUUGAGACGGAGUCUCGCUCUGUCGCCCAGGCUGGAGUGCAGUGGCGCGAUCUCGGCUCACCGCAACCUCCGCCUCCCAGGUUCACGCCAUUCUCCUGC
rnacentral:SRP_RNA from 1 species